GUCGAAGCCCUCAUUUGCACCCAAAAUUGGUUAAAGACCAAACCUGUUGACAUUCGGGAAUUGGAAGAAUACGUACAGUCGAUGGACCUUGAAGAUGAUCAUCUAGCUUCAUUUUCAACAGAGGAUGCUGUGCGUCUCUCUUCCCAUUGAUGCUGAAAAAAAUUUAGAGUUAUCUAGUUUCUCAUGACGUGCUGACGCAAUUAGUAAACACUUGAAGGACACAAAAGCAGCUGAAUAGAUGGCAG